rnacentral:rRNA from 1 species
CGCCAGACUCCUACGGGAGGCAGCAGUGGGGAAUAUUGCACAAUGGGGGAAACCCUGAUGCAGCGACGCCGCGUGAGCGAUGAAGUAUUUCGGUAUGUAAAGCUCUAUCAGCAGGGAAGAAGAUGACGGUACCUGACUAAGAAGCCCCGGCUAACUACGUGCCAGCAGCCGCGGUAAUACGUAGGGGGCAAGCGUUAUCCGGAUUUACUGGGUGUAAAGGGAGCGUAGACGGCAGCGCAAGUCUGGAGUGAAAUGCCGGGGCUCAACCCCGGAACUGCUUUGGAAACUGUGCAGCCCGAGUGCAGGAGAGGUAAGCGGAAUUCCUAGUGUAGCGGUGAAAUGCGUAGAUAUUAGGAGGAACACCAGUGGCGAAGGCGGCUUACUGGACUGUAACUGGCGUUGAGGCUCGAAAGCGUGGGGAGCACACAGGAUUAGAUACCCCUGUAA